AUACGGAGGAUCCGAGCGUUAUCCGGAUUUAUUGGGUUUAAAGGGAGCGUAGGUGGAUUGUUAAGUCAGUUGUGAAAGUUUGCGGCUCAACCGUACAAUUGCAGUUGAAACUGGCAGUCUUGAGUACAGUAGAUGUGCGGAAUUCGUGGUGUAGCGGUGAAAUGCUUAGAUAUCACGAAGAACUCCGAUUGCGAAGGCAGCUCACUAGACUGUUACUGACACUGAUGCUCGAAAGUGUGGGUAUCAAACAGGAUUAGAUACCCUGGUAGUCCACACAGUAAACGAUGAAUACUCGCUGUUUGCGAUAUACAGUAAGCGGCCAAGCGAAAGCAUUAAGUAUUCCACCUUGGGAGUACGCCGGCAACGGUGAAACUCAAAUGAAUUGACGGGG
rnacentral:rRNA from 1 species